rnacentral:rRNA from 1 species
GGGGCCCGGCACAAGCGGUGGAGUAUGUGGUUUAAUUUCGAUGCAACGCGAGAACCUUACCUGGUCUUGACAUCCCGGAGACCCUUGGAAACUAGGGGUGCUUCCAUCUGGAAGAAUCUGGAGCAAAGGUGCUGCAUGGCUGUCGUCAGCUCGUGUCGUGAGAUGUUGGGUUAAGUCCCGCAACGAGCGCAACCCUUGCCUUUAGUUGCCAGCAGUUCGGCUGGGCACUCUAAAGGGACUGCCGGUGUUAAACCGGAGGAAGGUGGGGAUGACGUCAAGUCCUCAUGGCCUUUAUGACCAGGGCUACACACGUACUACAAUGGCCGAUACAAAGGGCAGCGACACUGCGAGGUGAAGCCAAUCCCGUAAAAUCGGUCUCAGUCCGGAUUGGAGUCUGCAACUCGACUCCAUGAAGUUGGAAUCGCUAGUAAUCGUGGAUCAGCAUGCCACGGUGAAUACGUUCCCGGGCCUU